rnacentral:tRNA from 1 species
GCCAAUGUAGCUCAGCCUGGCUAGAGCAAUCGCCUUGUAAGCGAUAGGUCGCGAGUUCAAAUCUCGCCAUUGGCU